rfam:Loxodonta africana unplaced genomic scaffold scaffold_44, whole genome shotgun sequence.
CCAAAGGCUCUUUUCAGAGCCACUCAGCUUUUCUAAACAGAAGCGG